rnacentral:lncRNA from 1 species
AACCAUUAGAAAAUAAAGUUCAGUAUGUUAACACCUUUAGCCGAUAAAGUCACACUUGUGAAACAAUAUGAGAGGUUUGAACUUUCAGAAAAAGACUCAGAACCAGAAUCAAAUGCUGUUAUACUGCCUUUUUACCCUCUUUUUUUCUAUUUGAGGUUUUAUUUUACACCAAGUGCCAAUCAGAAUAAAAAUGCUUUGCCCGAUCUGCAAAAGAAGCAUACAACAAUUUCUAAUUUGCAACAUGUUCUGCAUACCUGGAAUGCUGUAAACUUAAAAGGGCUUUCUGAUUGGAACAUCCCAUCCUCAUCAAGCCAUCUCUCUGGUUUGAACUCCUCUGCAUCAUCACCCCAAAUGAAUUGCAUUCUGCCCAUUGCAUAAGGUUGAUAACAAACCAUAUCCCCUUUCCUCACACUGAACCCAUCUGGUAGAGUAUCAUCAGAGAAGCAUACCUUUGCAUCCUGCAAUCAAUGUGAAGAGAUAGUGAGAACCAAAGAACAAGGAAGCUAAUUUCUAACCUUCCAGAUACGCAUUAAAUGGAUAUCAGUUUAUAGAUGCAUGUUCUUGGAUGUACAUUAACAAGUUCAGUUGGAGGAUUCAAGAUUCAAGGCAACUUUGCUUACAACUGGAACAGCGGGGUAGAGCCUUAAUGUUUCAGUUAUGGCUGCAUGGAGAUAGUGCAUUUUUCCUAAAGCUUCUUCGCUCAAGAUAGCAGCAAAUUCAGCAUAAUCUUUAACAUCUUUCGUGUCAGUUGCUUCCUUCACUUCUUGUGCAACCUUUUCUUGAACAUCAGGAUGCUUGCAGAGCAUGUAAAUAAACCACGACAGAGUAGCUGCCGUUGUGUCUUUCCCAGCAAUUAUGAAGUUAAGGAUUAUAUCUCGCAAGUAUGUUGGAUCAGUGUCACUCACUUGUAGAAAUCUGGAUAAAAUGUCUUCCUUUUUCAUCUGCAUAAUCUGUAGAAAAUAAUAAUUUCAAUAUUCCACUUCAACAGGUAAUAUAAGUUGUUAACUAUAAGUAGCUCUACUGUUCUAGUUCACUCACUGAAGAUUCAUCCUUUGAGUUGCGCAUUUGCUCAAUCUUGUUGUGGAUCAGCUUAUACACAAAAUUAUCAACCACUUCUAUACUUUUCUUCAGUGUGGCCUCUGAUCCAAUAUUUAGAAAUCUUUUGAUCUUCCAGAAGAUAUCAACAUAUCGGAAGAGGAUUGCUGCACUUGAAUCAUCAAAAGCAGCUGUAAACUGUUUGCCUUCUAAAUUUGAUCCACACAUGCUGUCUAGUUCGACUCCAAAUGCAACUUUGAAUAUUGAAUCUAAAGUCGAUUUCAUAAACAAGUCCUGCACAAUAUAUCGUUAUAACAGAUUCAUUUUAUAUAUCACUCUGCCAUUGAUCUUGCCAUUAGGUGAACUUACCUGUAUAUCCAUUAUCUCAUUGGAAUUUGCUGCUUCAGACACUAUAGUCGCAAGUUUUGCCGCAUUUUCCCGAAAGACUACACUGCUGAAAUCUCUCAAGACCUUGGUUGAGAAUUCAUAGCUUGAUACUUUCCUCUGUUGACGCCACUUAUCACCAUCGACAGUGAAAAUCCCAUCGCCUAGUAAACCCUUUAGCAAGCUGUAAUUGUACUCACCCUGCACAAAAAAUUAAACAGAUUGGAAAACCAAAACAACUCCACCAUUCUGCCUUUUGGGUGGCCAUAUAAUUAUCAAAAGCCCUUUCAUUCCAACUAAUCACUCUGCGGCACAUUAGCAUCUUCAAUUGACUUACUUGUGGCGAGAUUGAGACCCUUUUCUUAAUCUAAUUAUGGGUGUUUCUGUCUAGGCUACUUAUACUAACCAAUCACCGGGAGAGUUCAGAAUUUUCUAGACCAACAAAUUAUUUGUGACUUUGAGGUGUGAAACGAGAGUCGGCACCAUACCUUGCCAUAAUUCUGGAAAUUUGUUUUGAGAAUAUACUCAACAUUGUCGGGUUCCGAGGUAUAAAUCUCAUUCCUGAAAGGGCUAAGCAGCCUGUAGGUCCUGUACUUCCCUGCAAGAUCAGUCAUAUAGUGAUGCAAUCUUCUGAAGUUGAGGAGCUGGUUAAAAACCGUUCCGCCAACAGGAUGGUACUUGGCCUUAUUUUUCCUCUGCCUUUCUCUUAGUUUUGCUGUGAGGAACUUGACAGUGAAAAGGGCAAGGAUUAGACUUAGAACCAAAGCUACCAAGGGAACUGGGUUAGACAGAUCCAUGGACAUGGAGGUACGUUUGGGUAAGCUGGUCUAUCAAUGUUAGGUGAAGGCUGUAUUAAACUAGAGAAGUCGGUUUUGUAAUACUAAUAAUAUCAACGGAGAGAAGUCCUUCUGCUAAGUCAUUCCUCUCAACCAAACGUGUCAUAACCUAAUUGGACGACAUUCGGACAAGCCCUAAACGUGGUUCUCUCGAAUUUCACAAGGUGAUCUUUUUGAAAAUUGGUAAAAAAUUACUAAUAAACUUCACCACAGCCAAGUAACAAAACAAAGGGCCAUACUUGUUAUUUCCUUAGUUAUGAUGAUAAAGAACAUACAAAUCUCUUCUAAUUGGUUAUUCUAUAGUUAAGUAAAGAGAAUGAUUUUUGAAUUUAAUUCUUAAAUAAGAAAAUACGUGUAUUUAUCAUGUUAAAUUUAAUACUCAAAUGAAAAAUUAAUUAGAAUUUUAUUUCGGAGCAUAUGAUACAAUCAAGUAACUUAAGUACAAAGAUGAUUAAGCUUGGCAAACAAGGAUAUGUCAUGUUUCUCAAUCCGAGAGAUAAGAAGCACAGAGCCAAAGGCCCUGCAAAAAGGCAGGGGAGAACUGAAUUGUUGUUUCCUAAAACUUUGCAUUAAGAUCAACAUGACUUUCUAGUCAUUAAAUAUUCUGCUAGAUUUCGAACUUGCAAAUAUGGUCUGUUUUAAUGAAAUUGCAGAAUGUUGUCUCACGUCUCAAGAACUUUGAUUUCACUUCUUUUUCAAGGAAAAAAAAAUGGUUUCACUUAGUUUGCAGAAGUGUCCUGAACUCAAUUUUCAGACAAAAGUAUGGUUCAAGACUCCUUGGUGAGUGAAAGUAAUUCUUCAUCAUAUUUAUUCCUUUAUUUUUCUUUUUGGAUAUCAUUGUAUUUAUUCUUGUGCAAGGACAAGUACAUGCAUACUCAAACCUUGCAAUUGCCCAGCAUACAGAACUGAGCCAACAGAUGAAACCCGUGGUCAAAUAGGCAAGAAAGACUAAGUCUGACAUCUGGGAAAUGCGCGGACAUGAAGGCCCCCAUCUACAUGAAGAGUGAUCAUCGUCCUGUAGGUGACAGAUUUAUUCUCAUCACUCAGUUUGAACACAAAGUAGUGCACAAGAACAGCCGAGAAGAUCUUCAUCUGCCUAUAAGCAAAUUCCUUGCCUAAACAAAUUCGAGGCCCUGCCUGUAAACCAUUAGAAAAUAAAGUUCAGUAUGUUCACAUCUUUAGCCGGUGAAAUCACACUUGUGAAACAAUAUGAGAAGUUUGAACUUUCGGAAAAAGACCCAGAACCAGAAAUCAAAUGCCGUUAUACUGAUUUUUUACCCUUUUUUCCUAUUUGAGGUUUUAUUUUACACCAAGUGCCAAUCAGAAUAAUAAUGCUUUGGCCGAUCUGGAAACGAAGCGUACAAGAAUUUCUAAUUUGUAGUAUGUUCUGCACACCUGGAAUGCUGUAAACUUAAAAGGGCUUUCUGGUUGGAACAUCCCAUCCUCAUCAAGCCAUCUCUCUGGUCUGAACUCCUCUGCAUCAUCACCCCAUAUGAAUUUCAUUCUGCCCAUUGCAUAAGGUUGAUAACAAACCAUAUCUCCUUUCCUCACACUGAACCCAUCUGGAAGAGUAUCAUCAGAAAAGCAUAUCUUUGGAUCCUGCAAUCAAAGUGAAGAGGUAGUGAGAACCAAAGAAAACCCCAGAACAUAGAAAGGAAGCUAAUUUCUAGCCUUCCCGAUACGCCUUGAAUGGAUAUCAGUUUAUAGAUGCAUGUUCUUUGAUGUGCAUUAACAAGUUCAGUUGGAGGAUUCAAGAUUCAAGGCAACUUUGCUUACAACUGGAACAGCGGGGUAGAGCCUUAAUGUUUCAGUUAAGGCUGCAUGGAGAUAGUGCAUUUUUCCUAGAGCUUCUUCGCUCAAGAUAGCAGCAAAUUCAGCAAAAUCUUUAACCUCCAUCGUGUCAGUUGCUUCCUUCACUUCUUGUGCAACCUUUUCUUGAACAUCAGGAUGCUUGCAGAGCAUGUAAAUAAACCACGACAGAGUAGCUGCUGUUGUGUCUUUCCCAGCAAUUAUGAAGUUAAGGAUUAUAUCUCGCACGUAUGUUGGGUCAGUGUCAUUCAAUUGCAGAAAUCUGGAUAAAAUGUCUUCCUUUUUCAUCUGCACAAUCCGUAGAAUACAAUUAUUUCAAAAUUCUACAUAGAAACCGUUAAUUAUAAGUAGCUCUAUUCUUCUAGUUCACUCACAGAAGAAUCGUUCGAGUUACGCAUCUGCUCAAUCUUGUUGUGGAUCAGCUUAUACACAAAAUUAUCAACCACUUUUGUACUUUUCUUUAGUUUUGCUUCUGAUCCAAUAUUUAAAAAUCUCUUGAUCUUCCAGAAGAUAUCAACAUAUCGGAAGAGGAUUGCUGCGCUUGAAUCAUCAAAAGCAGCUGUAAACUCUUUGCCUUCUAAAUUUGAUCCACACACGCUGUCUAGUUCAACUCCAAAUCCAACUUUGAAUAUCGAAUCUAAAGUCGAUUUCAUAAACAAGUCCUGCACAACAUUUCGCUAUAACAGGUUCAUAUUAUAUAUCACUCCGUCAUGGAUCUUGCCAUUAGGUGAACUUACCUGAAUAUCCAUUAUCUUGUUGGACUUCGCUGCGUCAGACACUAUAUUUGCAAGCUUUGCUGCAUUUUUCCGAAAGACUACAGUGCUGAAAUCCCUCAACACCUUCGUUGAGAAUUCAUAGCUUGACACUUUCCUCUGUUGACGCCACUUAUCACCAUCGACUGCGAAAAUCCCAUCACCUAGUAAACCCUUUAGCAAGCUGUAAUUGUACUCACCCUGCACAGAAAAUUAGACAAAUUGAAAAACCAAAACGACCCCACCAUUCUGCCGUAGCCAUAUAAUUAUCAAAAACUCUUUCGUUAUAGCAAAUAACCCUGCAGCACAUUAGCAUUUGUAGUUGACUUAAUUGUGACUAUAGAUUGAGACACUCUUUCAUAUUCUAAUUCUGGGUGUUACUGUCUAAGCUACUUCUUCCAACCAAUGACAGGGGGAGUUCAAAAUUUUCUAGACCAACAAAUUACCUUGCCAUAAUUCUGGAAAUUUGUUUUGAGAAUAUAUUCAACGUUGUCUGGUUCCGAGGUAUAAACCUCACUCCUGAAAGGGCUAAGCAGCCUGUAGUUCCUGUACUUCCCAGCAAGAUCAGUCAUAUAGUGAUGCACUCUUUUGAAGUUGAGGAGCUGGUUAAAAAGUGUUCCGCCAACAGGAUGGUACUUGGUCUUGUUUUUUUUCUGCUUUUCUCUUAGUUUUGCUGCGAGGAACUUGACAGUGAAAAGGAUCAGGAUUAGAUUUAGAAACAAAGCGACCAAUGUAGCUGGGUUAGACAGAUCCAUGGAGAUGGAGGUCCUUUUUGGGUAAGCUGGUCGAUCAAUGUUAGCGGGUGAAGACUGAAGAAAACUAGAGGUCUUUUUAUAAUACUAAUAAUAUCAACGGGGAGAAAUCCUUUUGCUAAGUCAUUUCUCUUAACCAGACGUGUGACUAUAUUCGGACAAUCCGCAAACGUGUUUCUCUUAAAUUUUACGUGCACAUUGCUGAGAGUCCAACCAUGAGAGAGAUAUGCACCGACUUUCCUUCGUUGUCUCCUUUUUCGUUUUUAAAUUGUUAUAAGUUAUUAACUAAUUUCACCACAACCAAUUAACAAAACAAAGGGCAGGACUAGGUUUUUUUUUACUCAGUCAAUAUAACUAUUUAGAGAAAAUUGUGAAAAAUAACUCAUAAGGUGAUUUCAAAAAUAAUUAUCCAUAUAAUGUUAUCUGUUUUUACCAAAAAACAAACAUGAGUAAACCAAAAUGCUCUCAGAAACAUCCUGGCAAAUCAAUCUCCUAAUAUCUCUCUCGCUGUAAAGAAAAUAAAUACUCAGUUAUUUCAGCUCGCUCAACUCUUUCAGCUCUCUAAAUUAUAUCAGCUUUGUCAACUCUCUGUUAAGUACCAUCGUCAUCAACUCUCUUAGCUAUUUGAACUGUAUCAUCUAUAUGUACUUAUUAAAGAUAUAAAUUAAAGAAUAUAAAAGAAAACGAAGUAAAUGAAUAAUUGAAAAGACAAGUCGAGCCACUAAUUACUACAAUGAUCACUGUCUGAUCACGACAGCUAAAGCCACUGCAAUUGCUCGGCCAAUAAAGUUGACAAACUUUGUUGAAAUAGGACUUGCAUUGAAAAUCACGUCAGUUCAUACUAUCUUAGGAUCAUAUGUGACCAUUUUGUAUAAGCUAGCUUUCUUUCAAAUUAUGAUAACUAUGCAUUUAAUGAAUGAUUUAUAUGAUGAUUAGUAUGCAUUCUUAGGCCUAGCUACUGUUCAAAACUUAGUUGUUAAGUUUUGUUAUGUAUAUAAACUAAGUCAAUGCAUAUCAGAAAUAUGAAACCUACUGUUACAACAAAAACUGUCUUUACUUGCUCUGUUUCAUACUUAUCCUACAUCAACUAAAACACAACAAAACUUACUAAAUAAAGCAAUCUAUAUACCAACAAUGUCUUGGAAUUUAGCAAGUUUUAGUUUGUCCUCUUGGAAUGACAUAGAGGUCGAGGCCAUGCUGGAGGGUGAAGCCACAACAUGGUCCUAUCGUCUGCCAAGUUGAAGCGAAAGUAGUGAAUAAGGGAACUUUGUUGAGAUUUUCUUUAUCUGCUCAGAAGAAAUUAAGAAAAAAUUAUAUGGUGUAGAUACUUGAUUUUGAUUUUGAUUGUUAACAUAUUUCUUCAAUAUAAAGUAAAAUUAAUUUAUAAAACGUUGUAUUACUAUGUAAGAAGUAGUGUAGAUAAUUUAUAAUAAGUAGAAAAAUCACGUCAUUGUAUAAACUAGUGAAAAUAUCUUCGAAAUAAAUGAUGAGAUUUUUAAAUUAAUUUUUUUAAAAUGUUUUGAAGAGUUUGAUUUGAUAACUUAAAUACAUAAAUGAAAAUUUUCUAAAUACGUAUGCAUAAAAUCCACUAUCACCAUCAAUGACCUAAACAUUCAUAAGGCUUUAAUGCCUCAACAGUUGACAUUUUCUCAUUGGUAUGAAUAAAUUUCAUUAAUUACAAGAUUACUCAAUUCCAUAACCCUUCAAGAUAUUUUCUCAUUGAUUGUGUUCGAUUUGAUAAGGAUGUUAAUUUUUUUUUUUGAAUUACAAAUAUUUUUCAUUUUUUUAAAUAAUUAAGUGACGCACUUCUAAUGCCUCAGUAGCUGACAUUAAUUAUCCAUUGGUUGCAUUCACUUUGAUUCGGAGCUAAUUAACAACCGAAAAGUUGGCCGAUGUUUGCCGACUUGGAUUUAAUGGUCAUAUGAGUUGGUGUAACAAUGUGAUACCAAAAAGGUAGUAAUCAAUACAAAUUUUGAGUAGGAAGAGUACUGCAUUCAAAUGAAAUCAAGAAGAAGAUUGUGGAGAAAACUCUCAUUUAAUGGAAGAACAUGACUGCCAAAUACGAGUACCUAAACAUGGUUUGGCAAUUGCCAUCAUCCUAUGCAUCCCUAGGUUACUUAACUGAUUGAUGUAAUUCAUUGAAUAAAAUGGUUAGUUGUUAUUAUCAUGUCAUGUCAUCGUCAUGAUAUUUCUUCCUCUUUUGUGAGUAAUGAGAUUUUUGAAGGAUGGAGAUGACUCUACCUAAAUUCUUAGAUUUUUUUGUUGCUUAUUUUCAUUGUAUUUUGAGUUUUUGACUGUGUCUAACUGUUUAUCUUUUGCAAAGCCAUUUUUUCACCUUAAUUUCAACCCAGCAUCUGUGUGUUGUCCGAUGGGUUAGAAAAUGGGCAAGUUUGAUUGGUGGUUGAUUCCUUUUCUUCAGCAUUUUGGUAACUUGGGCCUAUAAAAUUUAUUUAUAGUAGACAAAAAAAAACUUUUAUUAAAAAAUAUUAUAGUAAAUAUUUGUUUCUUUUCGGAUAAUUGACUUUUAUUUAGCUAAGGAAUAUUUUAUUUGAAAUAUGUCCCAUAUAUACCACUGAAAAUCCAAGGCUUUUUAUGGUUAUUCAUUCUUAAUGGCAUUUCUACUAAAUGCUUUCUAAGAAUCAGAACGCAUGGUGUAUGUCCUACAAUACAAAUGGUGAUAACCUUUGUUUUUGGUGUUACAGCCAUGGAGGAAAAGAGUGAUGAUAUUUUAUUUUCUUGUCACUUCAUACGGUCCAUGGAGGAAAUGUGGAUAGAUCGAAGAUAAGUAAAUCAAGAUUCACAGACUGUGAAAGCGUAUUAAAAGAUGAGAACUUUUUGACUUGGAUUUUUUUUAAUAAAAGUUCUUUGCUUGGAUUUUUUUUUAGUAAAAAUUCUUUGCUUGGAUUUAAGAGAUGAGAUUCAAAGAACUUUUAAGAGAUGCAGCAAACAACCUCAAAAUCCAAGCUCUUUGCUUGUAAGCUUCCUAGCCACUUGUAAACAGAAAAUACGGCUUCUAUGGAGUCCCAAUCUCGGGAAAUGGUCAGGGCAUAUAGACCAGAUGACUCGAAUUGUACAUAUAUUUUUUUCUUUUUUGGUGAAAUAACUCAAAUUCCAUUGAUCAACACAUUUACAGAAAAAAGCAAAUCAACACUAUAGAAAAAUGCAAAUCGGGGCUCUUAUGUACAACCAGCAAGGUUGAAGACUUGAAGUUGAACAAAUUGAUGACUUUGCACAGGAGGAUAUUUGGAAAUUCAUCAACUUGUCCUUGGAACAGCAUAAAGAUGGAGGCCCCCCUUCAUAUGAAGUGUGAACAUUGUCCUGUAAGUUGCAAUUUUCGUAUAAUCAACUAAUUUAAAGCGGAAGAAGCGAAGAAGGGCAAUUGAGACUAUCUUCAUCUACCGGUGAGCAAAAUCCUUGCCUAAGCAAGUUCGAGGACCCGCCUGAAACAUAAUGCAGCAGCUGGAAAAGAUUAAGAUCGUUUGACAACUAUAUAGGCACAUGCAUGUUAUACACAUGGUAGAAAUGGAACAAAGAAUACUAACAUGAAAUGCUAUGAAUUUGAAAGGGGAUUCGGACUGGAAAACUCCAUUGUUAAGCCAUCUUUCUGGUCGAAAAGUGUCGGCAUCUUCUCCCCAAAUGUCAGGCAUUCUACGCAUGGCGUAGGCCAUGUAAUACACCCCGUCUCCUUUCUUGAGUUUGUAGCCAUCGGGGAGAAUGUCAUCCUGCUCUGCAUUCCUUCCAUCCUUGAAGCACAAAGUGAGAACCAUAUCAUAUUCCAGCUGUCGAAAUGCUAAGACUGCAAGAAAAUCUAUGAGUGUCUCAGGCACCUUACAAUGGCGACAGCAGGGUACAGCCUUAAGGUCUCUGUUAUGGCUGCAUGAAGAUAGUGCAUUUGCUCUAGGGUUGAAUCAGUUAUGGUUGUCACGAAAUCAUCAACAUUAUUAGCACCAUUUCUUUUACUACUAGUGACGUCCACCACUUCUUGUGCAAGUUUUUCUUGUAUCAAAGGGUUCUUGCAGAGCAUGUAGAAGAACCAGGACAGAGUAUUCGCAGAAGAAUCUUUGCCAGCGAGUACGAAGUUCAGGAUUAUAUCCCUUAAAUAUUUGUCAUUCAUUGUGUCUGGAUUCUUCUCGCUUUCCACUAAAAAUCUUGAAAGUAUGUCUUCUUUCACAUUCUUGAAGCCAUAAAAAGAAAUAAGAAAAAACAAACCAAUUAUUAGUAAAGUAUAAAUUUCCACGCCAAAAACCAGAUUACCUUAAGCAGUGAGAUUGAAUUCAACAGUGUUCUUGUGACUCUCAAGUCCCACCAUAUUUGUUAGACCAAGAUUGACUAUAAGAAAUUCUUGCAGCAAAAUAUAUAUGGCUCACCAAAUCUCGUUCCAUGCCCAGCAGUUUCCUCUUGGAGCUAAUGACAUCGUGAACAAAGUAUCAACGACUUUGAUAUUCUUUCUGAGGGCAGCUUCAGAGCCAAUGUUAAGAGACCGUUUCAGCUUCCAGAAAGGGUCAACAAAGCGCCUCUCAUUUGAAUCAUCAAAAGCCUUCAUAAAAGUAGUCCCUUCCUUACUUGACCCAUCCAUGCAGUUUAAAUCUAUGCCAAACCCAACUUUGAAUAUGGAAUCUAGAGUGCAUGUCAUUAAUAGAUUCUACAAAUUAAAGUAAACACAGCAUGAAAAACUGAAAAAGGGAAAAUUAGACAAGCAUAAUUGUGAGCAUCUUUAAAGUUUUGGGUUAAUUUGAGGGUCAGAUUUCUCACUUGCAUGUCAAAAGCUUGACCCGACACUUCCAGCUUCGAAAUAACUCCAACCAGUUUGGCAGCGUUCCUUCUGAAAACAGAGCAGCUAAAAUAUUUAAGAACUCUCGUCGAGAACUCGAAGCUUGCCAGCUUCCGCUGCUUCCGCCACUUGUCUCCGUCCACCGCAAAGAUCCCUUGUCCAAAAAGAUCUAUCAGAAUUUCUUGGUUUUGUUUACCCUUACAGUAUCUGUCGAACUUUGUUUUCAAUAUGUACUCUACAUUUCGCGUAUCGACGGUGUAUACUACGCUUAGCCCUAAAGCGAGUUGCCUGUAAGUGGGCUGUUUUUUGGCCGCUUGGGUUUGGUAGUCGUAGAGAUAGUUGAAAUAAAACAACUGGUUGAAAACGCUGCCCUUCACCGGUGGGUUGUCAGGAUUUCCGAUGGAUUUUCCGGUGAAGAUUUUGAUUGUGAGAAAAGAGAAGAUCAGGAAGAGAAUGAGUGGUGGUAAUGACAUCAACAAGAAGAUGGUAGAGAGAAUAUCCAUUUUUCCUUUUUCUAAUGAAUACUCGGAAAGGUUAUAGGCCAUAUAUGCAGAUUCUUGCAUUGGGUUGCAUUCAUUUUUCAACCUACCAACAAAAUCAAACCGUUUUCAUCACCAAUAUCUUUCUCAACAACAAAAUCAUUUGUUUAAUAAUUAUAAUGUUUACACGUGUACGAUUGCCAUUUCAUCAAUUUGAUUUUUCUUGUAAAUUAAGUUGAUGCCACCAUAUCUCAUACUUCAAAAAUUUUAGAGGAUUGUACGGAUAAUCAUAAAUUUAUAAUCAUAAUUAUAAUCUAUUUAACUUCUAAAGUGAAUUAACAUAUAUAACUUUAAUCAAGUAAGCAUGAAAAAAGUGUAUCAUUUAAGUUUGGGUCUUGUUUACGAAUAUUCUAAGAGUUUUUUUAUCGUUAAUUAAAAUAUUAUAAUAAUAUUUUUCUUUUAAAUGUCGUAAUUGACUGGUAGUGCGAUGAUUUUCAAUAUAUCUAAAAUGAUAUUACUCAAUAUAAUAACUUUAAAUAAUAUCAUUAUAACAAUAGUUAGUAAAAGUCAUAAUAUUCAAAAAAGCUUUUAAAUUAUUCAAAAAAUUUAAAAUAAAUCUUACUUUUAUUAUAUUCAAUUAUAUUUUUAUAUUUUUAUUUUAGAUCAAAUAAAUCUUUUAUUUUUAUUUUGAAUCAAAUAAAUCUUUAUAAAUAAUAAUUGACUUAGUUAAAAUGUUAUUUGUCAUUAUAUAUUACGUGACGCUGAUGUAGUAUACUAACAUAUCAUAAUUAAUGAUGAUGUGAUAUGUUGAUUUAUCAUAUUUGAUAAUGAUAUGACAUGCUAGUUUAACCUAAUAACAUGAUGACAUUUUUCAAUCUCUACAUUAAUAUCAUAUUAGUGCCACGUGGAUAUAAAAUGAUAAAAUAUAUUUUGACUAAUGAAAAUUAGUCAAUUAUUAUUAAUAAAAGCUUAUUUGAUCUAAAAUAAAAAUAUAGAGACUUGAUUAAGCGUAACAAAAGAAUAAAAAUUUAUUCGAAUUUUGUUAAAUAGUUUCAGAGCUUAUUUGAGAAAUAUGUGUUAGUAAAACCAUUUAUAUUUAAAUUUUUAUUUUAUUUUUUGAAAAGUAAUUUGUCAUAAACGGAAUAAUGACAUGGCUAUAGAUUAAGCUAGGCUAUAAACUUAUUUCAGCCUUAAAUGAUUAACAAUGAAUAAGGUGCGUCCCCUCUCAAGAAACCCCUAUACAAUAGUUAGGAUAAACCCUUAAAGGAUGGACCUCAGGACCGGGGGCAGCUCAAGUACCUCUUGUGACGACAUGAUAUUCAUUGAAGACUAUUUGGACUUCAAGCGUGUUCAUCCAUUGACAUUGGCAAUUAGUUUCUGCUGGCAUGAACCGUAUGGCGACCACUUGUAUGAUUGUGAUAUAUCAUGCUGUUGAGUGCGAGCUCAACUUUGUUGAAGUACAUUGGUGUCCUUGGUUUUGUUGAAUUCUGACAAUAGACAUCCCAUACCCAAUUCAUAGCAUACAUAUGGCUUUUAUCUUUGUUUAAAUUGAAUUAAGAACAUCCGGAUUCAUUUCAUACUCAUAAGAUCUUAAGAUGAUCAAGAUUUGCACUUAACGGAAGCAAAACUGGCCUGAACUCAAUAUUCAGACAAAAGUAUGGUUCUAGACUCUUUGGUCAGUGAAAGCAACCAUCCAUCAUAUCGAUUCCUUUCGUCCUUUUUGCUUGGUGACAUCAUCCGAUUUACUCAUGUGCAAGGAAAGAUACAAGUAUAUUAACAGUGUGCAUUUGCCUAGUAUAAAGAACUGAGCCACCAGAUGAAACCCUUGGUCAAAUAAGCUAGAAAGACCAAAGUUAAGUCUGACAUCUGUGAAGUGCGCGGACAUGAAGGCCCCCAUCUACAUGAAGAUUGAUCAUCGUCCUGUAGGUGACACAUUUAUUCUCAUCACUCAGUUUGAACGCAAAGCAGUGCACCAGAACAGCUGAGAAGAUCUUCAUCUGCCUAUAAGCAAAUUCCUUGCCUAAACAAAUUCGAGGCCCUGCCUGUAAACCAUUAGAAAAUAAAGUUCAGUAUCUUCACAUCUUUAGCCGGUAAAAUCACACUUGUGAAACAAUAUGAGAGGUUUGAACUUUCAGAAAAAGACUCAGAACCAGAAUCAAAUGCUGUUAUGCUGCUUUUUUACCAUUUUUUUUCUAUUUGAGGUCUUUUUUUACACCAAGUGCCAAUCAGAAUAAAAAUGCUUUGCCCGAUCUGCAAAAGAAGCAUACAACAAUUUCUAAUUUGCAACAUGUUCUGCAUACCUGGAAUGCUGUAAACUUAAAAGGGCUUUCUGGUUGGAACAUCCCCUCCUCAUCAAGGCAUCUCUCUGGUCUGAACUCCUCUGCAUCAUCACCCCAAAUGAAUUUCAUUCUGCCCAUUGCAUAAGGUUCAUAACAAACCAUAUCUCCUUUCCUCACACUGAACCCAUCUGGAAGAGUUUCAUCAGACAAGCAUAUCUUUGCAUCCUGCAAUCAAAGUGAAGAGGUAGUGAGAACCAAAGAAAACCCCAGAACAUAGCAAGGAAGCUAAUUUCUAGCCUUCCCGAUAUGCAUUGAAUGGAUAUCAGUUUAUCGAUGCAUGUUCUUUGAUGUGCAUUAACAAGUUCAGUUGGAGGAUUCAAGAUUCAAGGCAACUUUGCUUACAACUGGAACAGCGGGGUAGAGCCUUAAUGUUUCAGUUAAGGCUGCAUGGAGAUAGUGCAUUUUUCCUAGGGCUUCUUCGCUCAAGAUAGCAGCAAAUUCAGCAAAAUCUUUAACCUCCUUCGUGUCAGUUGCUUCCUUCACUUCUUGUGCAACCUUUUCUUGAACAUCAGGAUGCUUGCAGAGCAUGUAAAUAAACCACGACAGAGUAGCUGUCGUUGUGUCUUUCCCAGCAAUUAUGAAGUUAAGGAUUAUAUCUCGCAAGUAUGUUGGAUCAGUGUCACUCACUUGUAGAAAUCUGGAUAAAAUGUCUUCCUUUUUCAUCUGCAUAAUCUGUAGAAAAUAAUAAUUUCAAUAUUCUACUUCAACAGGUAAUAUAAGCUGUUAACUAUAAGUAGCUCUACUGUUCUAGUUCACUCACUGAAGCUUCAUCCUUUGAGUUGCGUAUUGGCUCAAUCUUGUUGUGGAUCAGCUUAUACACAAAAUUAUCAACCACUUCUAUACUUUUCUUCAGUGUGGCCUCUGAUCCAAUAUUUAGAAAUCUUUUGAUCUUCUAGAAGAUAUCAACAUAUCGGAAGAGGAUUGCUGCACUUGAAUCAUCAAAAGCAGCUGUAAACUGUUUGCCUUCUAAAUUUGAUCCACACAUGCUGUCUAGUUCGACUCCAAAUGCAACUUUGAAUAGUGAAUCUAAAGUCGAUUUCAUAAACAAGUCCUGCACAAUAUAUCGUUAUAACAGAUCCAUUUUAUAUAUCACUCUGCAUUGAUCUUGCCAUUAGGUGAACUUACCUGUAUAUCCAUUAUCUCAUUGGAAUUUGCUGCUUCAGACACUAUAGUUGCAAGUUUUGCCGCAUUUUCCCGAAAGACUACACUGCUGAAAUCUCUCAAGACCUUGGUUGAGAAUUCAUAGCUUGAUACUUUCCUCUGUUGACGCCACUUAUCACCAUCGACAGUGAAAAUCCCAUCACCUAGUAAACCCUUUAGCAAGCUGUAAUUGUACUCACCCUGCACAGAAAAUUAAACAGUUUGGAAAACCAAAACAACUCCACCAUUCUGCCUUUUGGGUGGCCAUAUAAUUAUCAAAAGCCCUCUCAUUCCAACUAAUCACUCUGCGGCAUAUUAGCAUCUACAAUUGACUUACUUGUGGCGAGAUUGAGACCCUUUUUCUUAAUCUAAUUACGGGUGUUUCUGUCUAAGCUACUUACACUAACCAAUCACCGGGAGAGUUCAGAAUUUUCUAGACCAACAAAUUAUUUGUGACUUUGAGGUGUGAAACGAGAGUCGGCACCAUACCUUGCCAUAUUUCUGGAAAUUUGUUUUUAGAAUAUACUCAACAUUGUCUGGUUCCGAGGUAUAAAUCUCAUUCCUGAAAGGGCUAAGCAGCCUGUAGUUCCUGUACUUCCCAGCAAGAUCAGUCAUAUAGUGAUGCAAUCUUCUGAAGUUGAGGAGCUGGUUAAAAACCGUUCCGCCAACGGGAUGGUACUUGGCCUUAUUUUUCCUCUGCCUUUCUCUUAGUUUUGCUGUGAGGAACUGGACGGUGAAAAGGGUCAGGAUUAGACUUAGAACCAAAGCUACCAAGGGAACUGGGUUAGACAGAUCCAUGAAGAUGGAGGUACGUUUGGGAAAGCUGGUCUAUCAAUGUUAGGUGAAGGCUGUAUUAAACUAGAGAAGUCGUUCUGAAAUACUAAUAAUAUCAACGGAGAGAAGUCCUUCUGCCAAGUUAUUCCUCUCAACCAAACGUGUCACAACCUAAUUGGACUACAUUCGGACAAGCCCGAAACGUGGUUCUCUCGAAUUUCACAAGGUGAAAUUUUUGAAAUUGGCAAAAAAUUACUAAUAAAUUUCACCACAACCAGAUAACAAAACAAAGGGUCAUACUUAUUUUUUCCUUAGUUAUGAUGGUAAAGGACAUACAUAUCUGUUCUAUUCGGUUAUUUUGUAGUUAAGUAAAGAGAAUGAUUUUUUAAUUUAAUUUUUAAAUAAAAAUACGUGUAUUUAUCAUGUUAAGUUUAAUAUUCAGAUGAAAAAUUAAUUAGAAUUUUAUUUCAAAGCAUAUGAUACAAUUAAGUAACUUAAGUACAAAGAUGAUUAAGCUUAGCAAACAAGGAAAUGUCAUAUUUCUCAAUCCGAGAGAUAAGAAGCACAGAGCCAAAGGCCCUGCAAAAAGGCAGGGGAGAACUGAAUUGUUGUUUCCUAAAACUUUGCAUUAAGAUCAACAUGACUUUCUAGUCAUUAAAUAUUCUGCUAGAUUUCGAACUUGCAAAUAUGGUCUGUUUUAAUGAAAUUGCAGAAUGUUGUCUCAGGUCUCAACAACUUUGAUUUCACUUCUUUUUCAAGGAAAAAAAAAUGGUUUCACUUAGUUUGCAGAAGUGUCCUGAACUCAAUUUUCAGACAAAAGUAUGGUUCGAGACUCCUUGGUGAGUGAAAGUAAUUCUUCAUCAUAUUUAUUCCUUUAUUUUUCUUUUUGGAUAUCAUUGUAUUUAUUCUUGUGCAAGGACAAGUACAUGCAUACUCAAACCUUGCAAUUGCCCAGCAUACAGAACUGAGCCAACAGAUGAAACCCGUGGUCAAAUAGGCAAGAAAGACUAAGUCUGACAUCUGGGAAAUGCGCGGACAUGAAGGCCCCCAUCUACGUGAAGAGUGAUCAUCGUCCUGUAGGUGACAGAUUUAUUCUCAUCACUCAGUUUGAACACAAAGUAGUGCACCAGAACAGCCGAGAAGAUCUUCAUCUGCCUAUAAGCAAAUUCCUUGCCGAAACAAAUUCGAGGGCCUGCCUGUAAACCAUUAGAAAAUAAAGUUCAGCAUGUUCACAUCUUUAGCCGGUGAAAUCACACUUGUGAAACAAUAUGAGAAGUUUGAACUUUCGGAAAAAGACCCAGAACCAAAAAUCAAAUGCUGUUAUACUGCUUUUUUAGCCUCUUUUUCUAUUUGAGGUUUUAUUUUACACCAAGUGCCAAUCAGAAUAAUAAUGCUUUGGCCGAUCUGGAAACGAAGCGUACAAGAACUUCUAAUUUGUAGUAUGUUCUGCACACCUGGAAUGCUGUAAACUUAAAAUGGCUUUCUGGUUGGAACAUCCCAUCCUCAUCAAGCCAUCUCUCUGGUCUGAACUCCUCUGCAUCAUCACCCCAUAUGAAUUUCAUUCUGCCCAUUGCAUAAGGUUGAUAACAAACCAUAUCUCCUUUCCUCACACUGAACCCAUCUGGAAGAGUAUCAUCAGAAAAGCAUAUCUUUGCAUCCUGCAAUCAAAGUGAAGAGGUAGUGAGAUCCAAAGAAAACCCCAGAACAUAGAAAGGAAGCUAAUUUCUAGCCUUCCCGAUACGCAUUGAAUGGAUAUCAGUUUAUAGAUGCAUGUUCUUUGAUGUGCAUUAACAAGUUCAGUUGGAGGAUUCAAGAUUCAAGGAAACUUUGCUUACAACUGGAACAGCGGGGUAGAGCCUUAAUGUUUCAGUUAAGGCUGCAUGGAGAUAGUGCAUUUUUCCUAGAGCUUCUUCGCUCAAGAUAGCAGCAAAUUCAGCAAAA